AGCGAACGCUGGCGGCAGGCUUAACACAUGCAAGUCGAGCGGGCCCUUCGGGGUCAGCGGCGGACGGGUGAGUAACGCGUGGGAACGUGCCUUCUGGUUCGGAAUAACUCAGGGAAACUUGAGCUAAUACCGGAUACGCCCUUUUGGGGAAAGGUUUACUGCCGGAAGAUCGGCCCGCGUCUGAUUAGCUAGUUGGUGGGGUAACGGCCCACGAAGGCGACGAUCAGUAGCUGGUCAGAGAGGAUGAUCAGCCACACUGGGACUGAGACACGGCCCAGACUCCUACGGGAGGCAGCAGUGGGGAAUAUUGGACAAUGGGCGCAAGCCUGAUCCAGCCAUGCCGCGUGAGUGAUGAAGGCCUUAGGGUUGUAAAGCUCUUUUAUCCGGGACGAUAAUGACGGUACCGGAGGAAUAAGCCCCGGCUAACUUCGUGCCAGCAGCCGCCGUAA
rnacentral:rRNA from 1 species